rnacentral:rRNA from 1 species
GGGGGGGGGGGGGGGGGGGGGGGGGGGGGGGGGGGCGGGGGGGAGGGGCGGGCGUGGGGGGGGUGCGCGGGGGGCGAACGGGGGAGUAACACGGGAGGAACCGGCCCUUGACUUUGGGAUAACUUCAGGAAACUGGGGCUAAUACCGGAUAGGAGCUCCUGCUGCAUGGUGGGGGUUGGAAAGUUUCGGCGGUUGGGGAUGGACUCGCGGCUUAUCAGCUUGUUGGUGGGGUAGUGGCUUACCAAGGCUUUGACGGGUAGCCGGCCUGAGAGGGUGACCGGCCACAUUGGGACUGAGAUACGGCCCAGACUCCUACGGGCGGCAGCAGUGGGGAAUAUUGCACAAUGGGCGGAAGCCUGAUGCAGCAACGCCGCGUGCGGGAUGACGGCCUUCGGGUUGUAAACCGCUUUCGCCUGUGACGAAGCGUGAGUGACGGUAAUGGGUAAAGAAGCACCGGCUAACUACGUG